rnacentral:rRNA from 1 species
UACGGGGGGGGCAAGCGUUGUUCGGAAUUACUGGGCGUAAAGGGCUCGUAGGCGGCCGACUAAGUCGGACGUGAAAUCCCUCGGCUUAACCGGGGAAUGGCGUCCGAUACUGGAUGGCUUGAGUCCGGGAGAGGGAUGCGGAAUUCCAGGUGUAGCGGUGAAAUGCGUAGAUAUCUGGAGGAACACCGGUGGCGAAGGCGGCAUCCUGGACCGGCACUGACGCUGAGGAGCGAAAGCCAGGGGAGCAAACGGG